GGAUUGCCCUAGUAACGGCGAGUGAAGCGGCAACAGCUCAAAUUUGAAAUCUGGCCCUUGGGUCCGAGUUGUAAUUUGUAGAGGAUGUUUUUGGUGCGGUAUCUUCCGAGUUCCUUGGAACAGGACGCCUUAGAGGGUGAGAGCCCCGUACGGUUGAAUGCCUAGCCUUUGUAAAACUCCUUCGACGAGUCGAGUAGUUUGGGAAUGCUGCUCUAAAUGGGAGGUAAAUUUCUUCUAAAGCUAAAUACUGGCCAGAGACCGAUAGCGCACAAGUAGAGUGAUCGAAAGAUGAAAAGCACUUUGAAAAGAGGGUUAAAUAGCACGUGAAAUUGUUGAAAGGGAAGGAUUUAUGACCAGACUUUUUCUGGGCGGAUCAUCCGGUGUUCUCACCGGUGCACUUCGCUCAGUUUAGGCCAGCAUCGAUUUUCGGUGGGGGAUAAAAGCUUUAGGAAUGUGGCUCCUCCGGGAGUGUUAUAGCCUAUUGUAUAAUACCCUACUGGGGAUCGAGGUACGCGCUUCUGCAAGGAUGCUGGCGUAAUGGUUAUCAAUCACCCGUCUUGAAACACGGACCAAGGAGUCGAACAUUUGUGCAAGUGUUUGGGUGUUAAACCCUCACGCGUAAUGAAAGUGAACGGAGGUGAGAGCCCUUACGGGUGCAUCAUCGACCGAUCCUGAUGUUUUCGGAUGGAUUUGAGUAAGAGCAUAACUGUUCGGACCCGAAAGAUGGUGAACUAUGCGUGGAUAGGGUGAAGCCAGAGGAAACUCUGGUGGAGGCUCGCAGCGGUUCUGACGUGCAAAUCGAUCGUCAAAUCUGCGCAUGGGGGCGAAAGAC
rnacentral:rRNA from 1 species